GAAAUGCGAUAAGUAAUGUGAAUUGCAGAAUUCAGUGACUCAUCGAAUCUUUGAACGCACAUUGCGCCCCCUGGUAUUCCGGGGGGCAUGCCUGUUCGAGCGUCAUUUCACCACUCAAGCCUCGCUUGGUAUUGGGCGACGCGGUCCGCCGCGCGCCUCAAAUCGACCGGCUGGGUCUUCUGUCCCCUCAGCGUUGUGGAAACUAUUCGCUAAAGGGUGCCACGGGAGGCCACGCCGCAAAACAAACCCAUUUCUAAGGUUGACCUCGGAUCAGGUAGGGAUACCCGCUGAACUUAAGC
rnacentral:misc_RNA from 1 species